UCUGCACAACACAUAAUAAAUUUAAGAUAAUCCAUGGACCAUCUCAAUCCAGCAACAAAAGCAUACCCAUAAGCUCACCAACAAGUCAUCAAGUAGAUCAUUAUAUAAGCAAAACCAUUUCUAUUUUGCAGUACAAACUCAACCAGGAGUUCAAUAGAGCAUCAAGAUAUCUUUACCAGAUCCUCUAGAAUAGACAUAUAUAAUCACAGUAAUUAUCAGCCAACACAAACUUGUCAAGGACCAUGUAGGUACAUGAUAAGAUCAUCAUCGGAUAAUAUAAAUCAUUUCCAAGACAACAACCAGCUCAUAUACAUGUGGAAACAAUCCACCACAUCCCUUAAAUGAAAAUACAACUAGGAAUUAUCAGCAUAGCAAAUGGGUCUCCACCGUAGGCAAACAACAAGAUAACUUUCAACCCUGAAUGAAAAGUUCAGUUAACUCUUCAAUGGAAUUCAGUAACACUAUAAAUGCAGAACAUUAUAUUCAGUUCAUGGAACCAGUAUUGCUACACAUAAAUGGUAAUCCAUGACAACAGCUAUACGCACCACACAUACACACAUGCCAUUGGUUCAUAGCCAUAGAGUGACAGAGAAAGAGAGGUUUAGCUCACAGUGCCGUACAUGAAGUAGCGAGGUAGGCGACGCCAGGGUUGCGUCCACGGCACCAUCAAGCCGGGGUUGCGUCCAUGGCACCGUCCCGCCGGCGUCGAGGUCGCAGCUGAAAUAGGCAUCAAAGCAGCAUUACUGCAGAACCCCAUCACCACCAUAGCAGCAAUUACCACCACAAAACCAUACAACACCGAGAUGACAAGAUUGAGCUGGGGCUCGUGGUAGACACUAAGGCCAUCGAGAGGGUCAUCCAGAGCUCGCCGAGAAAGUGCAGAACCAGACACGCGGGCGCGCGGCAUCGCGCUAGCAACCAAGUCAAAUCCAUAGCUAGGGCUAGCCAGGAGCGUGGGAGCGGCUGGCGGCGUCACGAAAAUGAGGAGAGAGCGGAGGUCGACCGUGUCGG